GUAGAUGAAAAAAAAUUUUAAAGCCAAAGAUAAUCGAUUGUCUAUUGUUUACAAUCAAUUGUUUUUGUCCAGUAAGGUUAAAACGUUUCAACUCUCUUAAGUUUCAGCGAAUGUUAAUUGUUUUAAAGUCCAUCAAUUCUUAUAAUAUAGAAUUGUCCUAUCUUGUAAACAACGAUUAACAUUCAAGUGUUACAUAUCAAAAUAUGCAACACAUUAAGUCGAGAGAAUUGUCCUAUCUUGUAAACAACGAGUUACAUAUCAAAAUAUGCAACACAUUAAGUCGGGAUUCAUAAAAUGGCUUAAGAACCUAAAGUUUAUAGCAUCUAAUAUUUUAGUUAUUCAAUUGAAGCAUUAUGUUGCCAAAGUAA
rnacentral:lncRNA from 1 species